rnacentral:rRNA from 1 species
AUUGAACGCUGGCGGAAUGCUUUACACAUGCAAGUCGAACGGCAGCACGGGGCAACCUGGUGGCGAGUGGCGAACGGGUGAGUAAUACAUCGGAACGUGCCCAAUCGUGGGGGAUAACGUAGCGAAAGUUACGCUAAUACCGCAUACGAUCUACGGAUGAAAGCGGGGGAUCGCAAGACCUCGCGCGUAAUGGAGCGGCCGAUGUCAGAUUAGGUAGUUGGUGGGGUAAAGGCUCACCAAGCCAAUGAUCUGUAGCUGGUCUGAGAGGACGACCAGCCACACUGGAACUGAGACACGGUCCAGACUCCUACGGGAGGCAGCAGUGGGAAUUUUGGACAAUGGCGCAAGCCUGAUCCAGCCAUUCCGCGUGCAGGAUG